AGGCGGGUAGCGUAGUGGUCAGCGUGUUUACUAAGCGUUAUCAGCGUUGCUUUUCCAGCGUUUAGCGAGAGACCUGGGUUUGAAUCCCAGCCCGCCCA
rnacentral:tRNA from 1 species